AUGCAAGUCGAACGGAAUAAAGGAGCUUGCUCCUUUUGAUUAGUGGCGAACGGGUGAGUAACACGUGGGCAACCUCGCCCCUGACUCUGGGAUAACUAUUCGAAAGAGUAGCUAAUACCGGAUAUGAAACCUGGAGACAUCUCUGGUUAGGUAAAGUUUUCGGUCGAGGGAGUCGGGCCCGCGGCCUAUCAGCUAGUUGGUGGGGUAGUGGCUCACCAAGGCGACGACGGGUAGCCAGCCUGAGAGGGCGACCGGCCACACUGGGACUGAGACACGGCCCAGACUCC
rnacentral:rRNA from 1 species